UGGAGCCAAAGUUUACAUGCUAAAGUGUCUUCGUCAUUUUCGUGUCUACAAUGCUCCCAUAUAAAUAGUAUCGUUAAAUUUAUCUUGGACAUUCUAUUAUAUAUCCAAUGGUAAAUAC
rnacentral:snoRNA from 1 species